UUUACUUUGUUGUGAUACUAUUAGAAAAACUCGUGAAAUUAGUAUGGUAGAUAAGCGUAAGAACACGAACCCAGCUAACGGUGUUAAACAAUAUUAGAAAUAAUAAUUUAGUUGACGAAUUAAAAUUUGACUUAUCGGGGUGCCAGCAGUCGCGGUUAAACCUCCAAAAUUUAGUUCUAUAAUCCUAGGUAUAAGGAAAUUUGCUUACAAGUAGCAUCUCUUAGUGAAAUAAAUAAGAUAUUAAAGAAUUUCCAUAAAGCAAAAAGAUAACCAAAAGAAAGAUCAAACUAGGAUUAGAUACCCUACUAUCCCCUCCAAACAAAAGUACCUAAAACAUUACUUUCUUGUUAUUAGAUUAAAAUUUAAAUGACAUGGCGGUGUUCUAGAUAUUCAGGGGAACUUACCAGAUAAUUGAUACUCCCCAAAAAGAUCUACUCUAGUUUAAAACUCAUAUAUCGUCGUUUAAUUAUACCUUAAAGGUAUAAUAACAACUUAAAUUGUAAUUAAUAAAACAGAUCAAGAUAUAGUCUAUACUAGAGUCUUAAGGUGAGUUACAAUAAGGAAUUAUUUCAGAAUAUCUCUUUAAAUAAAGGUAUAAAGAUGGACUUGAAAGUAAUUAGUAUAUGUGACUACCUAUUGAAUAAAAAAUAGGACGUGUACAAAUCGCCCGUCAUUCUCAUUUUAAAAUGAGACAAGUCGUAACACAGUAGGUGUACCUGAAGGUGUACCU
rnacentral:rRNA from 1 species